rfam:Macaca mulatta chromosome 4, whole genome shotgun sequence.
AUCCUUUUGGAAGUCAUAAGUGUGAUUGGGUUUUCAUGCCCUUGUGUCAAACGUGUCUCCCUCAAACCGUGUUACAAAGUGGGCACACUACCUGCCUGACG